GACGAACGCUGGCGGCGUGCUUAACACAUGCAAGUCGAACGAUGACGACCGAGCUUGCUCGGUCUGAUUAGUGGCGAACGGGUGAGUAACACGUGAGCAACCUGCCCUUCACUCUGGGAUAACCUCGGGAAAUCGGGGCUAAUACCGGAUAUGAGCUCCUGUCGCAUGGCGGGUGUUGGAAAGUUUUUCGGUGAAGGAUGGGCUCGCGGCCUAUCAGUUUGUUGGUGAGGUAGUGGCUCACCAAGGCGAUGACGGGUAGCCGGCCUGAGAGGGCGACCGGCCACACUGGGACUGAGACACGGCCCAGACUCCUACGGGAGGCAGCAGUGGGGAAUAUUGCACAGUGGGCGAAAGCCUGAUGCAGCGACGCCGCGUGAGGGAUGACGGCCUUCGGGUUGUAAACCUCUUUCAACAGGGAAGAAGCGAAAGUGACGGUACCUGCAGAAGAAGCGCCGGCUAACUACGUG
rnacentral:rRNA from 1 species